AAGACCUUGCGCUUUUGGAGCGGCCGAUGCCUGAUUAGCUAGUUGGUGGGGUAAUGGCCUACCAAAGCUUCGAUCAGUAGCUGGUCUGAGAGGACGGCCAGCCACACUGGGACUGAGACACGGCCCAGACUCCUACGGGAGGCAGCAGUGGGGAAUUUUGGACAAUGGGCGCAAGCCUGAUCCAGCCACGCCGCGUGAGUGAAGAAGGCCUUCGGGUUGUAAAGCUCUUUCAGCCGGGAAGAAAAGGUUGCGAUUAAUAAUCGCAAUUUAUGACGGUACCGGAAGAAGAAGCACCGGCUAACUACGUGCCAGCAGCCGCGGUAAUACGUAGGGUGCGAGCGUUAAUCGGAAUUACUGGGCGUAAAGGGUGCGCAGGCGGUUUUGUAAGUCAGAUGUGAAAUCCCCGGGCUUAACCUGGGAACU
rnacentral:rRNA from 1 species